rnacentral:rRNA from 1 species
AGAGUUUGAUGAACGCUGGCGGUAUGCUUAACACAUGCAAGUCGAACGGUGUCUUCGGACACAGUGGCGGACGGGUGAGUAACGCGUGAGAAUCUGGCUCUAGGUCUGGGACAACCACUGGAAACGGUGGCUAAUACCGGAUGUGCCGAGAGGUGAAAGGUUAACUGCCUAGAGAUGAGCUCGCGUCUGAUUAGCUAGUUGGAAGUGUAAUGGACUCCCAAGGCGACGAUCAGUAGCUGGUCUGAGAGGACGAUCAGCCACACUGGGACUGAGACACGGCCCAGACUCCUACGGGAGGCAGCAGUGGGGAAUUUUCCGCAAUGGGCGAAAGCCUGACGGAGCAAUACCGCGUGAGGGAGGAAGGCUCUUGGGUCGUAAACCUCCUUUCUCAGGGAAGAACACAAUGACGGUACCUGAGGAAUAAGCAUCGGCUAACUCCGUGCCAGCAGCCGCGGUAAUACGGAGGAUGCAAGCGUUAUCCGGAAUGAUUGGGCGUAAAGCGUCCGCAGGUGGCAAUGUAAGUCUGCUGUUAAAGAGUCUAGCUCAACUAGAUAAGAGCAGUGGAAACUACAUAGCUAGAGUACGUUCGGGGCAGAGGGAAUUCCUGGUGUAGCGGUGAAAUGCGUAGAGAUCAGGAAGAACACCGGUGGCGAAGGCGCUCUGCUAGGCCGUAACUGACACUGAGGGACGAAAGCUAGGGGAGCGAAUGGGAUUAGAUACCCCAGUAGUCCUAGCCGUAAACGAUGGAUACUAGGCGUGGCUUGUAUCGACCCGAGCCGUGCCGUAGCUAACGCGUUAAGUAUCCCGCCUGGGGAGUACGCCGGCAACGGUGAAACUCAAAGGAAUUGACGGGGGCCCGCACAAGCGGUGGAGUAUGUGGUUUAAUUCGAUGCAACGCGAAGAACCUUACCAAGGCUUGACAUGUCGCGAAUCCUGGUGAAAGCUGGGAGUGCCUUCGGGAGCGCGAACACAGGUGGUGCAUGGCUGUCGUCAGCUCGUGUCGUGAGAUGUUGGGUUAAGUCCCGCAACGAGCGCAACCCUCGUUUUUAGUUGCCAGCAUUAAGUUGGGCACUCUAGAGAGACUGCCGGUGACAAACCGGAGGAAGGUGGGGAUGACGUCAAGUCAGCAUGCCCCUUACGCCUUGGGCUACACACGUACUACAAUGCUCCGGACAGAGGGCAGCAAGCAUGCGAAUGCAAGCAAAUCCCGUAAACCGGAGCUCAGUUCAGAUCGCAGGCUGCAACUCGCCUGCGUGAAGGAGGAAUCGCUAGUAAUUGCAGGUCAGCAUACUGCAGUGAAUUCGUUCCCGGGCCUUGUACACACCGCCCGUCACACCAUGGAAGCUGGUAGUGCCCGAAGUCAUUACUCCAACCUUUCGGGGAGGAGGAUGCCUAAGGCAGGACUGGUGACUGGGGUGAAGUCGUAACAAGGUAGCCGUACCGGAAGGUGUGGCUGGAUCACCUCCUUU